CAGUCGCCGCGGGAAUACAGAGGGUGCGAGCGUUAAUCGGAUUUACUGGGCGUAAAGCGUGCGUAGGCGGCUAAUUGAGUCGGAUGUGAAAUCCCCGAGCUUAACUUGGGAAUUGCAUUCGAUACUGGUUAGCUAGAGUGUGGGAGAGGAUGGUAGAAUUCCAGGUGUAGCGGUGAAAUGCGUAGAGAUCUGGAGGAAUACCGAUGGCGAAGGCAGCCAUCUGGCCUAACACUGACGCUGAGGUACGAAAGCAUGGGGAGCAAACAGGAUUAGAUACCCGUGUAGUCCCUGUCUCUUAUAC
rnacentral:rRNA from 1 species